rnacentral:sRNA from 1 species
UGUCACAGUUGAGCGGUAAAAUGAUCGAAAGCAAGCCACUCUAUGUGGCUAUUGCACAGCGGAAGGAAGACAGAAGGGUCAGACUACAGG